UACGGGGGGAGCAAGCGUUGUUCGGAUUUACUGGGCGUAAAGGGCGCGUAGGCGGCCACCGCAAGUCGACUGUGAAAUCUCCGGGCUUAACCCGGAAAGGUCAGCCGAUACUGCGGGGCUAGAGUGCAGAAGGGGCAACUGGAAUUCUCGGUGUAGCGGUGAAAUGCGUAGAUAUCGAGAGGAACACCUGCGGCGAAGGCGGGUUGCUGGGCUGACACUGACGCUGAGGCGCGACAGCGUGGGGAGCAAACAGG
rnacentral:rRNA from 1 species